UCCCGCAACGAGCGCAACCCUUGUCCUUAUUUGCCAGCAUUAAGUUGGGUACUCUAAGGAGACUGCCGGUGACAAACCGGAGGAAGGUGGGGAUGACGUCAGGUCAUCAUGGCCCUUACGGCCAGGGCUACACACGUGCUACAAUGGCGCGCACAGAGGGCUGCAAACCCGCGAGGGGGAGCCAAUCUCACAAAACGCGUCGUAGUCCGGAUCGGAGUCUGCAACUCGAC
rnacentral:rRNA from 13 species